UAGUUGUGUUCUUGAAACUUAAAGAAUUUGGCGGUAUCCUACUCCGUUCAGAGGAAUCUGUCUCGUUAUCGAUAGUCCGCGUUGGACCUUGCUUAGGGUUAAUUUUGGUUUGUAUACCGCCGUUUAUUGAUUAUCUUUUUAGAGUAUCUUGAAUUUUCUGGUUUCUUUAAUUUGAUUUAUUGCAGGUCAAGGUGCAGCUUUUUCUAAGUGUAAUGAUGGAUUACAGUGGUAUGUGUUGUUUGGAUUGUUUGUUUAAAUAUGGGCAUGAAAUUGGAUUUGGUUGUAAUGUUUUGUAGAUUGUUUUCAUGAUAGUUGGUUCUAGGAUAUGUACACAUCGCCCGUCGCUCUCAUUUAAGUUUUUGAUGAGAUAAGUCGUAACAUAGUAACGUACUCCAUCGGGCCUUCCCCUGAUGACGCUCUUUAAUGAUUUCCGUACCUCCUAUUAUAACAGGUCUUUACAAAUAAAAAACUUCCUCAAAAAAGCAUCACUCGUUAACCAUUAAAUUAUAAAUUUUGAUCUUUUCCAAUUUAAAAAACCUGAAUUUCCCUAAUUUCUAACAAUUAUUUUUUCUUUUAAUAAACCAAUAUUUCCUGCUCACUUCCCAAAAAUAAAAUACAAAAUACCAUUAUCUUUUUUGUUUUCGCCACCACCAG
rnacentral:rRNA from 1 species